UACGUAGGGUGCAAGCGUUGUCCGGAAUUAUUGGGCGUAAAGAGCUCGUAGGCGGUUUGUCGCGUCGAAUGUGAAAACCCGGGGCUCAACUCCGGGUCUGCAUUCGAUACGGGCUAGCUAGAGUGUGGUAGGGGAGAUCGGAAUUCCUGGUGUAGCGGUGAAAUGCGCAGAUAUCAGGAGGAACACCGGUGGCGAAGGCGGAUCUCUGGGCCAUUACUGACGCUGAGGAGCGAAAGCGUGGGGAGCGAACAGG
rnacentral:rRNA from 1 species